UUCAUGAGACGCGGAGGGACAUUGCUGGAACGCGCCCCAGGCGCACCCAGAAACCCUUUGUGAACUUAUACCUUACUGUUGCCUCGGCGCUAGCUGGUCCUUCGGGGCCCCUCACCCUCGGGUGUUGAGACAGCCCGCCGGCGGCCAACCUAACUCUUGUUUUUACACUGAAACUCUGAGAAUAAAACAUAAAUGAAUCAAAACUUUCAACAACGGAUCUCUUGGUUCUGGCAUCGAUGAAGAACGCAGCGAAAUGCGAUAAGUAAUGUGAAUUGCAGAAUUCAGUGAAUCAUCGAAUCUUUGAACGCACAUUGCGCCCUCUGGUAUUCCGGAGGGCAUGCCUGUUCGAGCGUCAUUUCAACCCUCAAGCCUGGCUUGGUGAUGGGGCACUGCCUGUAAAAGGGCAGGCCCUGAAAUUCAGUGGCGAGCUCGCCAGGACCCCGAGCGCAGUAGUUAAACCCUCGCUUUGGAAGGCCCUGGCGGUGCCCUGCCGUUAAACCCCCAACUUCUGAAAAUUUGACCUCGGAUCAGGUAGGAAUACCCGCUGAACUUAAGCAUAUCAUAAAGCCGGAAGAA
rnacentral:rRNA from 1 species